CAGGACUUGCAAAGACUCCUACAACCAUUGUGAACCUUACUUAUACGAACGUUUCCUUCGGCGGGCGGCUGCGCCCUACCGGCGGAUCCCGUUGCGGGGGAGCGUAAGCCCGCCGGGGCAACCUAAACUCUUAUUAUUAUGGCGUUGGCAUCUCGAGUAAUACUUAAAUAAGUUA
rnacentral:misc_RNA from 1 species